UUGCUGUGAUGCUUUGAAUUUCUUCAACUGAAUACACAAACAACUGAAUACACAAACGUUUUAACCCUGAGCUAA
ensembl:snoRNA SNORD36 Small nucleolar RNA SNORD36